rnacentral:rRNA from 1 species
UCCCAGACUCCUACGGGAGGCAGCAGUGGGGAAUAUUGCACAAUGGGGGAAACCCUGAUGCAGCGACGCCGCGUGAGCGAUGAAGUAUUUCGGUAUGUAAAGCCCUGUCAGCAGGGAAGAAAAUGACGGUACCUGAAGAAGAAGCCCCGGCUAACUACGUGCCAGCAGCCGCGGUAAUACGUAGGGGGCAAGCGUUAUCCGGAUUUACUGGGUGUAAAGGGGGCGCAGACGGCGAUGCAAGCCAGGAGUGAAAGCCCGGGGCCCAACCCCGGGACUGCUCUUGGAACUGCGUGGCUGGAGUGCAGGAGGGGCAGGCGGAAUUCCUGGUGUAGCGGUGAAAUGCGUAGAUAUCAGGAGGAACACCGGUGGCGAAGGCGGCCUUCUGGACUGCAACUGACGUUGAGGCCCGAAAGCGUGGGGAGCAAACAGGAUUAGAUACCCCAGUA